AACGAACGCUGGCGGCAUGCCUAACACAUGCAAGUCGAACGAGACCUUCGGGUCUAGUGGCGCACGGGUGCGUAACGCGUGGGAAUCUGCCCUUGGGUUCGGAAUAACUCGCCGAAAGGCGUGCUAAUACCGGAUGAUGUCGUAAGACCAAAGAUUUAUCGCCCAGGGAUGAGCCCGCGUAAGAUUAGUUAGUUGGUGGGUAACUGGCCUACCAAGACGAUGAUACGUAGCCGACCUGAGAGGGUGAUCGGCCACAUUGGGACUGAGACACGGCCCAA
rnacentral:rRNA from 1 species